rnacentral:rRNA from 1 species
GACGAACGCUGGCGGCGUGCUUAACACAUGCAAGUCGAACGAAGUGGCGAACGGGUGAGUAACGCGUAAUCACCCUGCCCUUCAGAGGGGGACAACAGUUGGAAACGACUGCUACUACCGCAUACUGCCGGAGGAGAUUGCGUUUGCUUAGCUCGUAGGUGGGGGAAAGGCCCACCAAGGCGAAGAUCAGUAGCCGGGUGGGGGGGAUGAACGGCCAAAUGGGGACUGAGAAACGGCCCAGACUCCUACGGGAGGCAGCAGGGGGGAAACUUCCGCAAUUGACGGAAGUCUGAAGGAGCAACGCCGCGUGAGGUAUGACGGCCUUCGGGUUGUAAAGCUCUGUUAAUCGGGACGCGGUACCGGAAUAGAAAGCCACGGCUAACUACGUGCCAGCAGCCGCGGUAAUUC